rnacentral:misc_RNA from 1 species
AAGUCGUAACAAGGUCUCCGUUGGUGACCAGCGGAGGGAUCAUUACCGAGUUUACAACUCCCAAACCCAUGUGAACAUACCUACUGUUGCUUCGGCGGGAUUGCCCCGGGCGCCUCGUGUGCCCCGGAUCAGGCGCCCGCCUAGGAAACUUAACUCUUGUUUUAUUUUGGAAUCUUCUGAGUAGUUUUUACAAAUAAAUAAAAACUUUCAACAACGGAUCUCUUGGUUCUG